rnacentral:rRNA from 1 species
CAAUAUGAAGGUCAGGCUGAAGACCUUACCCGAUUAGCUGAGAGGUGGUGCAUGGCCGUCGUCAGUUCGUACUGUGAAGCAUCCUGUUAAGUCAGGCAACGAGCGAGACCCACGUCCACAGUUGCCAGCAUACCCUCCGGGGUGAUGGGUACACUGUGGAGACCGCCGCUGCUAAAGCGGAGGAAGGAGUGGGCAACGGUAGGUCAGUAUGCCCCGAAUCUCCCGGGCUACACGCGGGCUACAAUGGUUGGUACAAUGGGCAUCUACCCCGAAAGGGGAAGGAAAUCUCUUAAAGCCAAUCGUAGUUCGGAUUGAGGGCUGCAACUCGCCCUCAUGAAGCUGGAAUCCGUAGUAAUCGCGUUUCCAACAGAACGCGGUGAAUACGUCCCUGCUCCUU